GAGGUGUUCUUCUUCUACAAACACUAUACUAAGUAGGUCAUAGCUCUCUGUGAGCUAUCAAUCAGCUGUUUUCUGACUCAGACCCAAAGCUGAAAGUCACCACAAGGACAAAAGUAUUGCAACAGAGUUUCUGUGAAUGCGGACAGCAUGCAGUCAGGCACGUAUCACUGUGCGUAUACCACAUGAGACAAAAGUGUAUUGUGGAUGGGCAUUGCAUUGAUUAUUUUGUCUGCUUCCUGAAUUCUCUUCAUAUCUACCAUACAUCCUUGUGGCUAGUUUGGAUUAGAAAAACAUCUUUGUUCAUUAUUGAUUACAUUUACCAGACAUAGAAUUUAACUGAGGGUAUUUAAGGUUCCAUUUCUUGUGAAGUUGCAUCAGAACGAUUCCAACCUUGUUACAUCAAGCUUGAACAGCUAUAGCUGACUGAGUUGACUGCUACUGAGUAGUACUGUGCAAGAUAUCGUCAGCUCUCAAUUCAUUUUGGAUCCAUCUUCAAUUCUAUUUCAAUCUUGUAAGCUCAGCAGCAACCAGCAAGCAUGCAGCCAGAACUUGAGAACCAAACUACAGGAGAGGGUGAAGACUGUGGCACUCAGGUUAAUGUCAUCAAUCGUAUGGCUGCACUUCCUGUGGUCAGUUCAACCUUGUCCCAAGUGACCAAUGCUUACAACUGGAGUAAGGACAAGAAUAGUCUGGUCAAGUAUACUCUGGAGAUGGCUGAAAGUACUGUAGCCAUGGCUGCUAGCACUGCCCAGCCAGUGGUCAAUAGACUUGAAGGACCAAUUUCUGCUGUUAAUGAAUAUGCUAACCAGCAGAUGGAUAAACUUGAAGAGAAGGUCCCAGUCAUCACUGAAUCACCAGAGAAGAUGAUGAUGAAUCUCCAGGAUGGCACUAAGAAGAUGAUUGAAAAUACCAAGAAAGCUGGUUCAGAUCGCAUCAAUAACCUUCUACUGACCAGACUGGGGAAGGCACUGACCACUGGUGUGGACACUGCUCUACUACUUUCUGAGUUUGCUGUGGACUACUACCUUCCUGACGAAAACACCGCUAAUAACGGUGAGGUGCAGGUCCCAGACCAAGCUUUAGCUGCUGCUGGAGUUGAACCGGAAGACCAUAUCCCUGAGGAUAAGCCCCUUGAGGCGACUGUCCAGCGAGCAAGCCGUGUGUCCAACAAGGUCAGACGUCGUGUUGUCAACAAAGCCAUGCGUAACGUCCGUUAUGCUCAGAAGCGUAGUCAGGAGACGCUUGAUAAACUGCACUUUACUGUAGACUUGAUCGAGUAUGCUCGUACAAACAUUGAUUCAGCUAACAAGGCUGUCCAGUCCCGUAUUGAGACCACCCAUCAAAAUCUCUCUAAAACUUGGGACGACUGGACGUUGGAAGAAGAGAGUGAUGCCAAGAAGGACGUUGAUGCUGUGAACGGAGAAGAGAAGACCUUAGCCAUUGCUCGUAAUCUUGCUGGUCGUCUACAAGUCUUGAGUGGUAACAUUGCAGGCUGUGUACGUCUUCUACCCCAGAAUCUAAGAGGCAAGGUAGAGGAAGGUCGUGAGCUUGCUGAUGCCCUUUAUAACUCACUGGAAGAGGUGCAGACGAUCCGUGAUCUACCGGCCAAUGUCCUUGUGACUGCUAAACAACAAUUGAACAUGAUGUCUGAUAUCUCCAUGUCUGUUGCUGAUUUCCUUGUCUCGUCAACACCACUUCAGUGGCUGGUGAGUCUUGAUUUCUUGCAAAAUAUUGUUUGCAAAUGCUUGUGUAAACCACGUUGAGUUAUCACCUUUAUACCUGUUGGAACAACAAACUCAUUCUCAUUGUAGAGAGUUGAGAUAAUUUUAUGAUAUACCUUUCUGAAUUGCAAAUUCAAAGACUUCAUUGCCAAUUUAAAGCUUUUAAACUUUAAAGAGAUUUCCCAGUGUACCCAUUUUUCAGUAUUGCCAAUUUCAUGAUAAAGACAAAUAUUAUUCAAAGCUCUUUAUCUUUUACAAAAUUGCUCUCUUUGAAAAAUGGAACAAUAAGAUACUGUUGACAUAUGCAGAUUUAAAGACAAAAUUGAUAGAUUUGGUGCAGCGUUUGGGGGCAGGGGCGAAGAGGAUUUUGAUGGGAGUUCCAUUUUUCAUUCUGAGUUGUCUUUUUUCAAUAUAAAGUCAAGCACCACUGGUUUACACAGCAUUUGUGAAUGAGUCUUAACUUUUAUAGUGUUUAAAUAUUGUUUAUUGUUCUGUGUUCUGGUAUUAUUCAUUCAUUAUCAGUUGUUAACCAUUCAAGUCUGGUCCUAUUCCCCUCUUCCUCAUUCAAAUCAUAGAAAUUUAUUCUACAAAAACUAGAUUAAAGUGAAGAUAAUUCUAAACUGUAACAAGUGGAAAUUCCUGAGUUGUAAUCGUCUAAGGCUUGUAUAGUUCUGAGUGAAAAAAAAAUACUGAAAACUUGUUCAAAAGGAUUAAAAAAAAGAUAAAUCAAAAUAGUAAAGUAAUAUGUGCAUUUUUAUUUCAAAAUCAAAUCCCACUGACAAUAUAAAAAAAAAACCUUCUGAUCUUAACUUUAAAAGCCUACAAAAUAAUGAUUUCUAAUUGGCUGUUAUCCUAUUUAAAUGCUUACCACCUUAUAUUCUUGAAUAUUUGUCUUAAAAAAAGAAAUCUGUCAAGGUUUUGAUGUUAAAGAGAGGGCAUGUUUAUAACCAAAGACCUGUGAUAUUCGUCUUAUCCCCUUUCAUCCUCCAAAUUUUUCAAGAUUUAGAAUGAAGGGGGGGGGGGGGGCUGCUUGAACAACUAUAUUUCAUGUAAUUCUAGCAAUUAAAAUGUAUUUAACUUAUCACCUAUAUUCAAUGGUAUGCAUGUGGUAUCUAAUAAUUUUAUAUCUGUCAUCCCAUCUUUAUUCUCAUCAACUUCCACAGUAUUGUGUUUUGGUCUUAAAUCUGUUUCUGAUUUGGUUUUAUAUAGUAUUAUUUAUUUAUAUUUUGCUUGCUUGAGCUUAGUUGCUUUGAUUUUGUUGCAUGGUGAACUUGUGAAUUUGCGUGCUGCUAUUCAAUGCUUUUUUAGCCACUCUGGUCUAUUUUUUACUCAAAAUGAAAUAAAAUAAAAUAAAAGGCCCCACUUAACAUGCAUAUAUCCAUGACAGCAUCUAAUCGAGUCAUUCAUUGCCAGGUUUGAAUAUUAAACAGGACUUAACUUUGAUUACCCUAUCUGGCGGGAUACAAGGUUGAGUGUUUAUUUGUAUUCGCGAGUAGUACAUUGCAACAAAUUAUUCCCAGAAUACAAGAUUCCUCACGGUUUAAAUACCCUAAAAGUUAAGAAUUUAUGAUUCUUUCAGUCAACAUGCAAAAUACAAAUACACUAUUUUUGGCAAAGAUUUUAAUGUUGGGCCACUGCUGCUUUCACUAAAAUGAAAAAAAAAUCCUCGAAAACAGAACAAUUUUAAGUGGUUUUGACAUCAGACAUGGCUCUCUCAUAUCUUUGAAAUUUGAUCACAUCAGAUUUGUCAAACUCUUAUGCAAGAUGGUACACAACUGGUACAUGCACUUGUAAACUUUUAUGUAACAUUUUAUUUUUACUAUCUUACAUGUUCAUAAGACCGGUUGGAUUUAUUCCUUCAUUAAGACAAGAAAUUUCAUUAUAUAAUUACAUUUAUUUGAAAUAAGUAACUGCGUACAUGUACAUUAAGUAUUUAAUGAAACCCAUUUUUUUUUUUUUUUUUUUUUGGGGGGGGGAGGGAGGAUUGUCAAGUAUGGUCUAAAUUGCACAAUGUAUGUACCUUGUCAAGAUUACUAACGGCAUACUUCAGAGAAAUAGCAGAUAGUUUGAAGAGAAGGAUGAAAGUAGAGCAUGAGUGCAAGAGUCAUUGAGCUGAUGAAGAGUGUAUGGUGUGGUAGAAUGAUAGUGGGAUACCAGUUAAUGUUGUUGGAAGAGCAGGAGCACUCAUCAGAGCCUGCUCUGUAGAACCGUCUAUCAAACAUUGCCAUCCUUGAUUUUUCAACCAUCCGCAGGUACCCCAACAGGUGAGACAAUACUUAGACACUUCUUCUUCCACGUCCAAUGGACAUGUCGCUGAAAGCACCCCAUCGCCCCUUGGGGAUCACACCUACACCAAUAAUGGCUCCCGUUCCCAAUGACUAGCCACUGUAGACCUGCUGCAGGGCGUGGCACCAGGUAUGACAUGGCGUCCUCCUCAUGACACUCCCCCAUCCGGUUUGAAGCGAACCGGCCCACACUGCUCACAUGAUACCCUGAACUGUGAUAAGAUCAUGCACCCAUAUGAUUCUAAGGAUGCGUUGAAGCAAGCCAUCCUUGAGGCGGGGUCGUUCAGGGCAGGUCCAUUCAAGGAGCUCCAACGCUCCCUGCAUGUCCUAGUCCAGUCCAUUUACAUCAUGACCUCCCUCCACAUCCGCAUCAAGGUGACGGGUCCAGAUCGCUCCACCAAGCACCGCUCUCGUAUUGAUUUCACUGCAUCUUCAUUGGUGUCUCUUCCCCAUCCUGCCUCUCAUCAUUGCCGUCAUCCCUCUAUCACAUCAAGAGCUAUGUCUGUCACAGACUGAUCAAUGACUGGUUUCAUCAUUUUCACUUUUCAUCACCCCAAAUUUUGAUUUUCUAUCAUAAUGGGGAAUUCUAAUUCAGAUUUCAAGAAAAAAUGCCAGGACACUGAAUUGAUUUUCUGUCCACACAAAUGUGCCAUUUCAUGUGAACAGCAUCAACAUUUAUGCAACUAUGUGAAUGAAAUAUAUCAAAAUUUAGGUGAUGGUGAUAUUCAAAAUUUCUCUGUUAAAAGCUUGUUAAUUUCUUGUGUAAGCUGUUUUUUUUUACUUGAACUAUUGUGAUUCAGGAAGUAUCAAGUAUGCAUGUAUUCUAGUUGGAAGCUGCAGCAUUGUUACACGAGACUGAUGUCGGAAUAAAUAUGUUAUAUCUUAAAACCUGAAAAUGGGAAACUUUAAGUGAAAUAAAGAAUUGAUGCAUGAAAUCUUGGUUUGCCUUGUGAAUCUUCUCAUUUUAAAUUGAAAUAAUAAAUUGUAAUAUGAAAUUAGCCUAGAGAUUAUUUUCAUUGCUGCAUACUACAUACUGUACAUAAUUAUAUUUUGAUACCAAAUUUGUAUGUUAAAUUGAUUUCACGAUGAAAUGAAAACUGAAAAAUUUACAAAUUGCUGCAUACUACAUACAUUUCUAUAUUUUAAUACCAAAUUUGUAUGUUAAUUUGAUUUCACAAUGAAAUGAAAAUUGAAAUAUCAGUUUCAUUUGAAAUAACUUUGCUAAAUUAGACAGCUUUAUUAGAUUUUUGUAAUGACAUAAUUAUUUUUUUUCACAAAGACCAUCUAGACAUUUUUUCAGUCUUUUCAAAGGAAUGAUAUUGAUUUUGACUUAAAUAGUAUGACUUAUAAAAGCUCUAGGUAGUGUUUAAAACUUUGAAUUUAUGAUAAUUUGGACAUGGUCAUGGAUUUUACAUUUUUAUCAUUUUAUCUAGAUGAAAAAUACAAGAAGUGCACUCAUUUUGUUUCUGUUGUUCAAUUGUGAGGUGUGUUUAUGCUGAUCAUUUUUACAAGCAACUUUCACUGUUAUGCAUGCAUAGAUUUAUAGUACAUGUUGAUAUUUUAUAUUUUGGUUGCCUUGGCUAACCUUUUUUCUAUG